GACGAACGCUGGCGGCGUGGAUAAGACAUGCAAGUCGGACGCUGAUUUCAGGGUAGCAAUAUUCUGGAGUCGGAGUGGCGCAAGGGUGCGUAACACGUGGGUAAUUUGCCGUGAAGCCUGGGAUAACUUGCUGAAAGGCGAGCUAAAUACCGGAUGUGAUUAUCGGGAGGCAUCUCCUGAACCUUAAAGUUGGGGACCGUAAGGCCUGACACUUCACGAUAAGCCCGCGGCCAUCAGCUAGUUGGUGAGGUAACGGCUCACCAAGGCUAAGACGGGUAGCUGGUCUGAGAGGACGACCAGCCACACUGGAACUGAGACACGGUCCAGACACCUACGGGUGGCAGCAGUCGAGAAUUUUUCAC
rnacentral:rRNA from 1 species